ensembl:lncRNA
GACUGGACCUGGGGGAUUUGGACCUGGUGGUGUUGGCACCGGACCUGGUGGACAAGGAUUAGGACUGAGAAAACCAGCGAAAUCUGGCUAUGGGUCAUCUCUGGGUGGUGCUGGCUAUGGCCCAGGGAGUGGGACAGGCACUGGAACAAGACCUGGUGGUACUGGGACAGGACCUGGAGGAUUUGGACCUGGUGGUACUGGGACAGGACCUGGAGGAUUUGGACCUGGUGGUGCCGGGACAGGGCCUGGAGGAAUUGGACCUGGUGGUGCUGGGACAGGGCCUGGGGGAUUUGGACCUGGAGGUCCAGGAGGCUACGGGCCUGGUGGAACUGGCUAUCGACCAGGUGGAACUGCAACAGGGACAGGAACCACUCUAGGAGGCCCUGGUGGUGCUGCUGGACCUGGUUAUGGAAGUGUAGCUGGAGGACUCUACCCUGGAGCAGGCCAGAAAUCCAAGGCCCAGAAAGCAGCUAAAUAUGCAGCACUGCAGGCAUUACUGGGAACUGGUGGCUACAGAGGACGAAGGAGGAAGUGAAAGAGCAGUAUACAGGAAGUGACCUCAUUUAAUAAUGUUGGUGCUAUAUGGCAUGAUUGUAUGUGUUUACCUGACUUCAACACUCUCCUACAAGCUGUUUUAAAACUGUAUUCAGAAUAUUUCAAAAACAGAAUGGAGUGGGUU